AGGUGGGCUGCCAUUCACAGACAACAUAUCAGCCACCGCCGUCACUCAGAAGUGGCUUUUUUCCCUUUCCAGCUCUUUUGUCUUUCCUCCAGUUCAGCUUCAGUGAAGGCAGCUGGGCCCCAGUUUGUGAUUAAGUGAGGAUUCUUGGAGCCUGGAAGACAGAGUGCAAUACUUGAGAGGGCCAUUUCUGACAGGGAUGUUGCACACCCACCACAGGAGGAUUUGGAAAAUGCUGCCUCUUCUGUGACUGGUCACCUUCUCAAAGGAGACCCAAGGACCCGCCUGUCCAAGGAGGGAGGAAUGCCUGGGCUGCUGUCACUGAAGGUGCUUAGUGCAAGUCCUCCCUUGGCAGCAGUGUAUCUCACACACUUAUGUGUCUGGAUGGUGGCACCACAUCAGCACAGGAGACGGAUAAAGGACUGGAAAACAGCUAAGGAGGUUGGCUCUGCUAAGAGAAGAGCCACUACAACAAAGAAAGAUAACAGAAAAACUCAUUAUGCCUGACAAAGCCCUUGAAGAUUGAGAACCGGUUCUUUUGGAAAUUCCCAGUGUAGGUUAAUAGCAACUUUACUUUUUAUAUUUUUGUGUGUGCAUAAAUGUAAAAGAGGACACAGCAUAACAAAGCAAUAGUUCUCGAAUAUAUAAAAUGCAUAUGGAUUAUGCCUGAUUCAUUUUGCAUAUUCAUACAGCACGUACUGGCCUCAGGUUCUCUGUCUUUGAAAACUCCAAGAACCUCAGCCUGCAUUUAUCCUUCGAACAGUCAGGUUUUUUCCCAGUUUUCCAGUAACACUUAAGCCUUGAAAGCUAUACAAAUUGUAGCCAAGCUGUGCCAGUAUUUGAAUUCACCAGUAAAAAUAUUUUAGUCCUACAUCUCUAGUAAAUGCAACGCAGGUUGCAUUCUCCAGCCUCCAGCAAAAUCUGUGGAAUCUUUUCAGUGGCUCCUGUGAGGGAAGACCUUGCUGAAGGCACAGCUCACUGUGUGUAAUCAUAGCAAAAACCCACGUGCUCUGCUCACCAUUUUUUCUCUCUCCAGCUCCAAACUGAAGCGAUCUUGUAAUUCAACUUGAGUCUGAAGUCUUUUCUUCUCCUCCUCAGCAGCACGAGCAGCUGCUGCUUCCAGUUGCUGGAAGAGAAGGGUGUGGGGUGGGGGAGAAGAAAAGGAGGACAAAAA